GCUAAAAUCCGUCUUGUCGCUCCAAUUGUAUUGGGGAGGAAAGUCCGGGCAUCGCAGAGCACCAUACCUUUUGAAAGGAAGGGCGGUUGUAAAACCGACAGCUAGUGUUACAGAAAAUAACCGCCUGAAUAAGUUUAACUUUUGAGGGUAAGGGUGAAAAGGUGAGGUAAGAGCUCACCAGUGUAAGAAGUAAUUUUUGCAGCUGAAUAAACCUUAUGGGAUGAAAGCUUAAAUAGGCUGGAGUGUUUUUAAAACGAAGAGUUGCUCGCUCAAUUCCAGUGGGUAAAGCGUUUAGAUAAAUGACAAGGCUCGACAGAACCUGGCUUAUAGGAUGUUAGCGUUU
rnacentral:RNase_P_RNA from 1 species